rnacentral:misc_RNA from 1 species
UUAAGUUCAGCGGGUAAUCCUGCCUGAUUUGAGGUCUAAAUUGAAGAUGACUACAAUAGUUGGAAGCUUCUACUGUUUCUGGUCCGGCCACUUAAAAAGUGUCCUCAGCGAAUAGUCUAUUACACUGAGUCAAUCCGAAUUCGAAUUAGAGAUGCUAAUGUAUUACGAACGAGCAGUCAGACUGGCAACGCUCAAAAUCC